AAGUGUGGCAACGUUUCGUUCCAUACCUGCGCUCCGCCCAAUAAGUUAGGGCGGGGGCGGGGGGCGCGCGGGGGUGCGCGGGCGCACGUACUUAAGGCGGCUCCCGCUGAAGCCCUUAUCAGUUGCCCUUUUGGUGUCGAACAGAACCACUGUGUCCACUGUCCAUCCGUGAUUUACGAACUUUUAAUACUCAACCGCAAUGAAUACGGUUCAGAUGCACGACCUGCCUCUCAGGAAACGUGGCCGGCCUCGCGGGCACAAACGCACUCCUCUCACAAAAGAACAGCAGAAGGAGCGCAACAAGUUCUACGAGGCACAGAGGCGCGCCGACAUUGCCGAGAAUUGGGCUGAGCUGGCCAAAAUGGUGGACCCUAAUAAGGAGAUCAAGCAAAUGCGCUACAAGGACGCCGCUAACUACAUCCUAGACUUGCAAGACAAAGUUCUAGCUGUGGAGAAAGAGGCGGAAAAACAGCGCGCUUACAACGGCGAGCUGCGGGCAAAAUUGGCGGAGCUGCAAGAAGUAGCUGCGUUUGACUACGGCCACACACAGGACUUUGGAUCAGUUCCCUUUACCGAGGAACAAAGCCUGACGUUCAGUGACAACUGGGCAGGACUUGGGAUGCCAGAACCACAGGAUAUUGAAAUGGACACUAGCUGCCUUCUACCACCACCAGACAACAACAUGCUCCACAACGGUGACCCUGUGGCGGAGCAGCCAGCGUGCACGGGAGUGGCGGCUACAGCGGUCACCAUCCAGGAGAUCCUCGAUUACGACUUUGAAACGGUUCCUUUAUGCGGAGAAGAACAGCAGACAGCCCUAGACAUCUGGACGAGCCUAGAAAUGCAAGCAUUGUCAGAGCUACAGGAUACAGAGAUGCCAGAGUUGCCAGACAUACACGAUAUUGACAUGGACAGCGUCUUUCCAUCACCACCAGCCACCAACCAGCUCCUAGACGACGUCACACGUGAGGGGCUGGCGGAGGUGGACCGGUUGGUGGCGCUAUACUUCAACAGUUGACAGUUGUGAGCCAGAACUGAUGGGAACAGAUAUUGGAAGCGCCGAAGGGGAAAUUGACUCCGAAGUAUAUCGGGUACAUGCCGCUUCCCGGGGGGUUAGGUUAAUUUGCAUGUUAGUGUUAAGUUCUAGAUAGGUACUUGUUUGUAAAUUACAAUAGGAUAUGUUGUUAGUUUAUAGUGUAUAUUUUUUCCUGUAAUUUUAAUAUUUUUUAUUUUAUUUUAAUAAACAAUUUUUAAUGCAUUUCUGUAUUUCAUUUUUGUACAAUAAACAUACACCACAAAUACAUAGCACUGUAGUAUACGGAUCUUUACCGCAAAAAAAAACAUUUUUCUGAACAAUGUUAAUGUUCUGGACAAUCAUUUUUGCACUUAAUUAAAUAUUCCACUCAACAUGUUUAUUAUGUGGGACGAAUACACCAUGAGCCAUAGAGGAUUUAUAGAGGCCGUGAACAGAACCUUAAAAGAUCU